CAGCUUCAGAAUGAAUUUUGAUUUUAAUAAACUUUAAAAGUUAAAAUCAUUUGGCCAUGAACUGUGUAUGGUGAAAUACCAUUUUUAUUCCACAUUGCAUUAUACUAUCACCGUUACAUAAGAUAUAUGUCUGUGUCCAAAGUAUAUUGUUUACUGUUCUAUCAAUUUAAAAUGUGUGCCUAGGGGUCAAAUUUUAUUCUAUCUAUCAAAGC
rnacentral:lncRNA from 1 species